rnacentral:rRNA from 1 species
CCUACGGGCGGCAGCAGUGAGGAAUAUUGGUCAAUGGGCGAGAGCCUGAACCAGCCAAGUCGCGUGAGGGAAGACGGUCCUAUGGAUUGUAAACCUCUUUUGUCGGGGAGCAAAAAGGCCUCGUGAGGCCACAAGUGAGAGUACCCGAAGAAAAAGCAUCGGCUACCUCCGUGCCAGAAGCCGCGGUAAUACGGGGGAUGCGAGCGUUAUCCGGAUUUAUGGGGUUUAAAGGGUGCGUAGGCGGACUGGAAAGUCAGCGGGAAAAUCGAGAGGCUCAACCUCUUUCCGCCGUUGAAACUGGCGGUCUUGAGUGGGCUAGAGGUAUGCGGAAUGCGUGGUGUAGCGGUGAAAUGCAUAGAUAUCACGCAGAACCCCGAUUGCGAAGGCAGCCUGCCAAGCCAUGACUGACGCUGAUGCACGAAAGCGUGGGGAUCAAACAGGAUUAGAUACCCGGGUAGUC